UGAGUGAGUGAACGGGAUAAGAUUUUCAUUCGGAAGUUGUCACGUAGUCCACACACGGUCUCGUCGACUCCGCGAAAUCGUCCAAGUUCGUCUCGACGUUUCCUGGCCGAAUUUGACGACAACGCAUCAGAGAGUUCGUGUACGCGUCACCAACCCGCUCGUAAGGAAGUCGCUGCGGAAACUCGAUCUUUCCCGAAAGUUCCAUUGGUACUCGAUGAAAGAAUCACCUGGUUCUCUCUCAGCUAUUCGUGUUGUCGAGAAUACAGUUUCCAAGUUCUACGGUCGCUCUUGCUGUUUGAUACUCGUUAAACGGAUACUGGCUGAUUUUCACGGCGAAGAAACUUGCAAGUUUCUUUCCUUUGUACGUAGUGCAGAGUCUCGCCGCUCGUGUCCACCUACGCAACCAUGCCGCAAACUCGCAAUUACACGGAUCACAACGUAUCAACAGGCAGCAGCGGCGCAACUUCGGUAAGUUCAUUUCGCGGAUAUUUCCGCUUCGUCCGGACAGUCUGGAAGCUGACUGCCGCGUUUUCUCGCCUCGUGACUAACGAUCCUGG